GUGAGUCAUCGAAUCUUUGAACGCACCUUGCGCUCCUCGGUAUUCCGAGGAGCAUGCCUGUUUGAGUGUCAUUAAAUUCUCAAACCCCACCGGUCUACUGAUCGUCGGGCUUGGACUUGGAGCGGUGCUGGCGAAAGUCGGCUCCUCUCAAAUGCAUCAGCGGAAUCCAGCCUUUGGCUUCGGUGUGAUAAUAAAAGUUACGCCGUCGUCUUCGGAAAUCAAUGGUCCGCUCACAAUGGUCUUCGGACAAUUCGUAUGCAAUUUGACCUCAAAUCAGGUAGGUACUACCCGCUGAAACUUAAGCAGAUCCAAUUAAGCGGUAGG
rnacentral:rRNA from 1 species